UUUAUUGAUUUUAUUUGAAAUUAAUUACACGCAAAUUGCACCUAGUAUUUACUUAUUAUAUGUUAACUCAAUUAGCUUAAAGGGCUUAUGUUUCGGACCCAAUUGCAGUUGCAUAUUUACAAUAUGAAAAUCAAAAAUCUUUAUACGCUACUACUAGUUCAUACCUUGGUAUGGGUUAUAUUUUCUCGGGCUUGCAAGGCCGAAGAAUUCAGAGCGUGGCGGAUUGGAUAUGAAGGGCUCGGUACCAUACAUGAACAAUUGGGGCAAAAACACUUUCCCAAAGUAAUAUAUAGCGAUUACAAAUCAAAUGUUAGCUACUCUAUACGAUCACGGACGUUUCAAUAUGGAAUGACUCCCGUACAUAAAAUAUCUCAUUGUAUUUUAGACAACCUCUUUAGGAAAGACCCCACCAUCCCAAAAGGAUACAUUAGUACUAAGCUCAACAGCACGCUAGUAUUGGGCCCUAGGUAUGAGCAAAACGAUUGGAAAUACGUAUUAAGGCAUUAUUGGUUUCUUUUAUUAUGGGUGUUUCUUUUGCUCUUGCUUAUAAUAGCAAUACCCUUUUUCGGCGUAAUCUAUUGUUGCUUCUGUUGUUGCCGUUGCAAUCAGAUUUGUGCACCUUGCAUACAUCAAAUGAGCUUUAAGCAGCGCCUGUGUUGCAACAUAGCACUAAUUAUUCUAACAGUAUUGCUUUUUAUUGCAUGGAUUAUAGCUUUGCUAAAUGUUAAGCUUAUAGAACGCGGUUUACGGGAUUCUAGUUUAACGCUCGAAUAUGGCAGCUUGGAUACGUGCAACUUUCUGAAGGAUGUCACCAGCCAUAUAGAUCAUUUACUUAUUACAAAUUAUGAGGAGUUGAGAGAACAUUUAUACGAGCAGCUCAUGGAGGCAUCAAAACAUAUUUUAUUGGAUCUGGUAGAUGUUUCUGGUCUCAACUCAUUGGAGAAACUUUUAGAAAUAUUAGAAAAUAUACCAAGGGCGCUUCAAUUAAUGAUUCAACUUGAUGUUGUUGAAAAGGAGUUGCGCUUUUAUGAAGCACAGUUUCGAGACAAUAUUCGUGGAUUUAAAAGGGAUUUAAUAUUUUACAUGGGAACAGUUUGUGAGUACCCUCCUUGUUGGGCUUUCUUAAAAAGGGAGAAUGUACCCAUGCUUGGUACCUCCAAGUGUCUACAUCUUGACAAGGUGCCGAAUACAACAGUUUAUGUGGAGGCAAUAAGAAAAAUCAUUAAAGACAAGUUAGUUGAAAUACCCAAAGCAGGGGUUGUGCGGUUAAGUUCUAUGAAAAAAUUGAUUGACCAAGCCAUGAAGCCUAUUAUACCGCCUAUAGAAGACAAGCUUAGAAAAGGAACCCACUCCUUUCGCUAUGAGGCGGAGAUGAUAAAUAACUUUAUUAAUGCUGUAAUCAGUCAAAUACAUUUUAAUGCAUUGCGCACCGCAAAAGGAUUCGACGAUGUAAACGAAAGGCUCGGGAAAAACCGAUCAUUGGUGAAUGGAAUUACGUGCUUAUUGCUGUUACUGCUACUCAUUCUACUAAUUUGUGCGCUUGUGCACGGCAUCUGUGUACGGCGUAGCAGCAAUGGGUAUAAUUUGCUUGUAGCCGUAAUCUUAAUCGCUUUAACAGUACUCUCGUUCCUACUGCUCGUUGGACUGUUUUAUUUUGUUUUAGGAUUGAUUACAUACCAAGGGGUCUGUGCGCCGCUACGCGAUGGCCGCAAUAGCUCAAUAUUUAAGCAGUUAGAUUCUGAAAUUGAUCUUCGACAUUAUUUGCCAGAUGAAAGCCAAAUCGAGCCCAAAGUAGCGCAGGAACAGGAUUUCCUGGUGCAUCCCGAAGUUGCUAUGUCCUUGAGGCAGUCAAAGACUGAUGCAGACGAUCCACAACCAUUGCGGGUAUCAAAGACAAUUGAAGCGUGCACGGCUGACCAAACGAUCUUUGAUCUGUUGCGUGAGAGCGGCAUAUAUGAUAUAAAGAGAAUCAGGCGAAUCAAUGUCACAUGGGAUGGUGCGGAGCAUGAGACAGGCAAGCAUAUAUUUCAUCAGGAUUUAUCUAAGCUCGAUAUUUUGACGGAUGAUGAGGUUGUUAAGCUUAAUGAAAUAAUUAAAGGCAACCUAUCAAGCUACAAUGGUGCAUUAUAUAGAGAAAACAUAUGCAAGGAAAUUUCCGAUAAAAAUAUGAGAACUUUUGCGUACGCACUUGUCAAUGAUAACAUUAAUAAAUGGAAGAGCACUUACGGAGGCCACAAUCGAACUCGAGAAUAUUACUUUUACGUUAAUACAUGGAAAACACAUUUAGACGGUUUUCAGCUUGAUAAAUUGUCUACAACGAUAUCAGCUCUCAUUGAUAAAACACUCAGUCUAGUCGAUAAAAUCGAUAAGAUUCUUGGGUUUAACAAGCAAAGUGUUGGUGAAUCUGUGCGUAUUUUAGUAAAUGCCAUCGAACGCUCGGAAGAGUUUAUAAAAGCAAACGGUAAGGCCUACAUAAAUACACUCGGCGAAAACUUCACUAGCGUCAUCGAAGAUGAAAUACAGUUGUAUAUGGAUAGAGUAAUUCUCAAAGUCAAUACAAACGUUGGACACUGCGGCCCAAUAUCUUAUGUUUACAACCGUGGAGUUGACUACGUUUGCCAUCACCUUGUCGAUCCCGUUAAUGGUUUCUGGUUGGCUGUGCUGUUUGCCGGGUUUCUGCUCAUGCCUAUUAUUUAUGUUGCCCAUAGACUACGUUGCUCAUACAAGGUACUAACGAUCUACCUGCCGACAAGUACAUAUCUUGGCUGUCCCAUUUGCACUGGCGCACCCUAUGUUGUUCCUCCAGUAGUCGUCUGCUCAGAUGGACAACAGGAAAACUGCGAUUGCGAGAACAUGGAAGCAAAAAAGAGACUGAAAAAAGACUGAAGAUUGUGAAAGUGAAGCUCAUAAUUUAGGUUGAUAUUACAGUGCAUUAUUGUCAAGUUUUUAUCAUAUUCUUUUAAAAGCAGCCUGCUGACGUGAGCGCCUACAGAAAACAAAAAAAAAAGAACGGAAGCAAAUAAUAAAAGCUGUUGUCAUUUGAAAUAGCUUAGUUAUUUGCCACACGUCAAGCCUGCAACACAAUCUUAAUUUAUACUGCAAAAAUUGUAAUCGUCAAGGUCAGCCAGAGAGAGACCAUGAAGUUUAUAAAGAACACAGCUUGAAAUAAGUAAGCUCCAAUGACAAUAAACACUAAAACUAAAGUUUCACAGUGCCAAAGCUAUAGUAAUGGGUAGGAACAGUGCUGGGGACCGCUCCUACAAGCAUUAGCAUUUGAGCAAUGCAAGCUGCGGCUAAUUUGAAAUUUUAAACAAUUUUUGCAACAACAAAAGAUGCCGAAAACAAAUGCAAAGCCAAAGGCGACAGCACGUUGCGCUUUGAUUGAAUUGAAUGCGAGACGUUAACGCUAAAACUGACAAAGUACUUGCAAAAUAAUUGUAAAAAACU